UUAAUUUGUUAUUUUUUUUGGGACUAAAUUUCUUGAUUUAAGUUCAAAAAUAAAGAAGCUAAAUUUUUUUUUAUAUGUAUGUAUUUCUAGGCUAAAUUGAGCUUAAAUUGAAACUUAUAGACUAAAUUGGAUAAAAAGUUAAAAAUGGGCUAAACUGAACCUCCUUUAAUAAGUACAAGGGUGUAGUUGAUCUUUAAGCCAUUCUUUUUUAUAAGAAAAAGUUGCUACAACUGUAGCAUAUAUUUUUAUUUGCCUGCUAAUGACAUUUUGCAACUACAAAGAAAUGGUUCAAGUAAGGUGGUUCAAAAUAAACAGAUCUGUUUUUAUUGAAAUUACAAUGUGCCUUUUUCUUUCCUUUGCAUAGUCUGUACUAAUGAUAGUGGUGUUACAUUCUACAGCCUGAGCUUGUCCAGCGUGUUGAGAAAGAUCUGCUGAACAUCAUGGCUGGUGGAACUGUUGAAAAUGCUGAUAUCCUUUUGUAUUGUUCUCACCUUUCUAGUGGCCCAAAGGUUCUGGUAUUCCAAAUUUAGCUAUCAAUAAGAUUAUAAAGUGCUCUUUUGUGAAAUAUCAUAUAACACUUGGAAAGAAGAAAAAAGUGAUGGGGCAACAGAAUGAGAAAGUUGCACUUUGAUACUAGGUUUGGUUGGAAUAGGAUCCUCCCCUGCCACUUCAUCUAGAUAACCAACUUGAGCAU
rnacentral:misc_RNA from 1 species